rnacentral:rRNA from 1 species
GGGGAAUAUUGCACAAUGGGGGCAACCCUGACGCAGCAACGCCGCGUGAAGGAUGAAGGUUUUCGGAUUGUAAACUUCUUUUAUUAAGGACGAAAAAUGACGGUACUUAAUGAAUAAGCUCCGGCUAACUACGUGCCAGCAGCCGCGGUAAUACGUAGGGAGCAAGCGUUGUCCGGAUUUACUGGGUGUAAAGGGUGCGUAGGCGGCUUUGCAAGUCAGAUGUGAAAUCUAUGGGCUCAACCCAUAAACUGCAUUUGAAACUGUAGAGCUUGAGUGAAGUAGAGGCAGGCGGAAUUCCCCGUGUAGCGGUGAAAUGCGUAGAGAUGGGGAGGAACACCAGUGGCGAAGGCGGCCUGCUGGGCUUUAACUGACGCUGAGGCACGAAAGCGUGGGUAGCAAACAGGAUUAGAUACCCUGGUAGUCCACGCUGUAAACGAUGAUUACUAGGUGUGGGGGGUCUGACCCCUUCCGUGCCGGAGUUAACACAAUAAGUAAUCCACCUGGGGAGUACGGCCGCAAGGUUGAAACUCAAAGGAAUUGACGGGGGCCCGCACAAGCAGUGGAGUAUGUGGUUUAAUUCGAAGCAACGCGAAGAACCUUACCAGGUCUUGACAUCCAACUAACGAAGUAGAGAUACAUUAGGUGCCCUUCGGGGAAAGUUGAGACAGGUGGUGCAUGGUUGUCGUCAGCUCGUGUCGUGAGAUGUUGGGUUAAGUCCCGCAACGAGCGCAACCCUUGCUAUUAGUUGCUACGCAAGAGCACUCUAAUAGGACUGCCGUUGACAAAACGGAGGAAGGUGGGGACGACGUCAAAUCAUCAUGCCCCUUAUGACCUGGGCUACACACGUACUACAAUGGAUGUUAACAGAGGGAAGCAAGACAGCGAUGUGGAGCAAACCCCUAAAAACAUUCUCAGUUCAGAUUGCAGGCUGCAACCCGCCUGCAUGAAGAUGGAAUUGCUAGUAAUCGCGGAUCAGCAUGCCGCGGUGAAUACGUUCCCG